AUGGUUUUAUGCAGCUUCCUCAUCCUGACAUCCCUGUGCAUUGUGGGCCAUGAUCAGGCCCUCACCCCUGCUGAAUGUGGGGCUUACGCCAGACAACCAGAAUACACAGACUCCUCAGUGGUCUGGGGGUCCUCCUACAUUGACCUGGCUAUUCAAAUCUGCCAUGCCAUCUAGUCUGUUGAUCCUGAGCCACAUCAUGUAUAACACAGUCUGUAAGGGAACUCUGAACACCAGAGUGAUUCCUCCUGUCCUGUGAUUCAGCUUUCCCCUUUGCCAAGGGGAGUCCACAUGAUCAACAUGUCCUCCAGGAACAGGGACAUUCUCAGACUUCUCCAGCCUCCAGACGGUCAAUGUGAGCGUGGUGGUCCGAUCAUACGACACCAACAUUGGAACGGUCACCUAUAAUGCUGAGCUCAAGUACUUUUACUCAUGUGCUUACCCUCUGGAGUACCUCGUCAAGAACACCCUAGUGGACGUGUCAGCCUCCUCCAUUACUGUGAAGAACAACAAUGGUAGCUUCAUCAGUGCUCUGAGCAAUGCCCUGUACCAGGAUGCAAACUAUACCACACACCUGGCUAUCCCUUCUCUGGUUAUUGAGGACUAAUGUCUACGUUCAGGUUUUAGCUGCCAACCUGACUUGCCAAUACUAUGUGCUUCUGGACUGA